UGCGUAGGUGGUUCGUUAAGUCUGAUGUGAAAGCCCUGGGCUCAACCUGGGAAUUGCAUUGGAUACUGGCGGGCUGGAGUGCGGUAGAGGGUAGUGGAAUUCCCGGUGUAGCAGUGAAAUGCGUAGAUAUCGGGAGGAACAUCCGUGGCGAAGGCGACUGCCUGGACCAGCACUGACACUGAGGCACGAAAGCGUGGGGAGCAAACA
rnacentral:rRNA from 1 species